CCUACGGGAGGCAGCAGUGGGGAAUAUUGCACAAUGGGGGAAACCCUGAUGCAGCGACGCCGCGUGAAGGAUGAAGUAUUUCGGUAUGUAAACUUCUAUCAGCAGGGAAGAAAAUGACGGUACCUGACUAAGAAGCCCCGGCGAACUACGUGCCAGCAGCCGCGGUAUUACGUAGGGGGCAAGCGUUAGCCGGAUUUACUGGGUGUAAAGGGAGCGUAGACGGUAAGGCAAGUCUGAUGUGAAAACCCGGGGCUCAACCCCGGGACUGCAUCGGAAACUGCCGAACGAGAGGGUCGGAGAGGCGAGUGGAAGUCGUGGGGUAGCGGUGGAAUGCGGAGAUAUUAGGAGGAACACCAGUGGCGAAGGCGGCUUGGUGGACGAUGACUGACGUUGAGGCUCGAAAGCGUGGGGAGCAAACAGGAUUAGAUACCCGGGUAGUC
rnacentral:rRNA from 1 species